UCGGCGGCGCCCCCUGCCGGCAGGAGCGCGCGGUCCUCCCGCCUGGAGCGCGGCCGCCUCGCGAGGGGCGACGGUGUGAGGACCUUGCCGGCGCCGGUGCCCCGCACCCGGCCCUGUUCGACCCGGGUAGGAGGACCCCGAGAGCCCCGGUGUGGAAAAUGAGGUGGGCAGGGACUCAGCUGUCCUCAAACCGCCCCCAGUGAGCCAAAGCUCCUGGUGAGGUUAUGAGGGAAUUCAGGAUGGCAGUUUCAGUGCCUUAUCCGAGCACGUGUAUUGGAAAAGGACUAGAGAAAUGAUGACAGCAGAUUCAGAAAGGAAAUCUCUCGUCUUGGCAAAAUUUCCGACUUCCAGAAGUAUGCGUCCAUUAGAGAACAGAGGGUGAUUCCUGCCAUGCACACUGGUAUGUUGCACUGUUUUAGUUCCUGUUCAGCUGUCUGGCACUAUAGAGAUGGUAUCUAUCACACUGAAGCCUGCAAUAAUAGAACAAGCCAGCAAACUGUUGGUGAUGCCUUUUAGUUCUUAGAACAAAUUUGAAGAUAAAAUCUUGAAAAAAACUAUUUUUGUCAAUGGCAUAUUUUCAUAGCAGAAAACCGAAAUGUAAAACUAAUAAUUGAAAACCAAACACGUGUUUGCUCACACACUCACUCUCUCAUAUGAAGUGUUGGAUUUCAGGACGAGAGUUUCCAGUUAUGAUUCUGACCCUUCUACAUUUGGUUACUCCUAGAUCACGUUGGCACCAACUACUAAAAUGGACCUGAGCUUUAGGGAACAAAGUUAAUUCCAAACCUUAAUCUCUGUGGCAGAAAUUGAAUGCAAACAUGGUUUAAUUUACUCCAUUAAAGCGUGGUACAAUCACUAACAAAUAUCUGCUCCAAAUAUCUGCUUGAAAAGCUGUGCUGGGGAAUUCAAUGCCUGCCCAGUUUCAUGACAGCACACUGACCCCAGAACACACUGACUCCAUCCGCACUGUGCAGUUGGGAGCUGGCAUGGGCUAGCUAAGUGGGGAGGAGGAGAGCUGGAACAGUUGAGUAUAUGAAAUUUGUUUUGAAAGAUCAGCUGUUUGGGCCUCCUGUUCAAUUGGUUUCGUGUGCCAGGCAUCCUCUUGAAUUUUUUUUUUAGCUUUUAAGAGCAUCUGAAAGGCUUGUAAUAGUUUCAGAUUUUUCCUG